AGUGAACGCUGGCGGUAGACCUAACACAUGCAAGUCGAACGGCAGCACAGUAAGAGCUUGCUCUUACGGGUGGCGAGUGGCGGACGGGUGAGGAAUACAUCGGAAUCUACUUUUUCGUGGGGGAUAACGUAGGGAAACUUACGCUAAUACCGCAUACGACCUACGGGUGAAAGCAGGGGAUCUUCGGACCUUGCGCGAUUGAAUGAGCCGAUGUCGGAUUAGCUAGUUGGCGGGGUAAAGGCCCACCAAGGCGACGAUCCGUAGCUGGUCUGAGAGGAUGAUCGGCCCAACGGGAACUGAAACACGGUCCAGACCCCUAGGGGGGGCAGCGGGGGGGAAUAUGGGAAAAGGGGGGCAAGCCUGAUCCAGCCAUCCCGGGGGGGUGAAGAAGGCCUUCGGGUUGAAAAGCCUUUUUUGGGGGAAAAAAAAGCAGCAGGUUAAACCCCCGCUGUUCGGACGGUACCCAAAAAAAAAGCACCGGCAAACUUCGG
rnacentral:rRNA from 1 species